rnacentral:rRNA from 1 species
AGCUCCAAUCGCGUAUCUUAAAGUUGUUGCAGUUAAAAAGCUCGUAGUUGGAUUUCUGCCUUGUGUCCCGGGUCGGCCCGAUAGGGUCUGUACUAGGAGACGCUUGGCAUCCUGUGGACGAGCUUGUGUGGUAUUGAUUUAUCGUGCAAGUGAGUCCACUCGUUUACUGUGAACAAAUUAGAGUGUUUAAAGCAGGCAAUUGCCUUGAAUACAUUAGCAUGGAAUAAUAAGAUAGGACUUCUCGUCUGUCUUGUUGGGUCAGGCCUGAGGUAAUGAUUAAUAGGGAUAGUUGGGGGUAUUCAUAUUCAAUUGUCAGAGGGGAAAGGCUUGGAUUUAUGGAAGAUGAACAACUGCGAAAGCAUUUACCAAGGAGGUUG